AUCUUUGAGGUGUUAACAUAUUAUAAUUUCAUUAUAAAGAAGAUCUAAAUCCUAAGAUG
rnacentral:tRNA from 1 species